rnacentral:rRNA from 1 species
GACGAACGCUGGCGGCGUGCUUAACACAUGCAAGUCGAGCGGUAAGGCCCUUCGGGGUACACGAGCGGCGAACGGGUGAGUAACACGUGGGUGACCUGCCCUCCACUUCGGGAUAAGCCUGGGAAACCGGGUCUAAUACCGGAUAGGACCUCCGGGUGCAUGCCUGGUGGUGAAAAGUUUUUUCGGUGGAGGAUGGGCCCGCGGUCUAUCAGCUUGUGGGUGGGGUGAUGGCCUACCAAGGCGACGACGGAUAGCCGGCCUGAGAGGGUGAUCGGCCACACUGGGACUGAGACACGGCCCAGACUCCUACGGGAGGCAGCAGUGGGGAAUCUUGCGCAAUGGGCGAAAGCCUGACGCAGCAACGCCGCGUGGGGGAUGACGGCCUUCGGGUUGUAAACCUCUUUCGCGAUCGACGAAGGUCCAGUUUGUGCUGGGCUGACGGUAGGUCGAGAAGAAGCACCGGCCAACUACGUGCCAGCCGCCGCCGUAACAC